AAGUCGUAACAAGGUUUCCGUAGGUGAACCUGCGGAAGGAUCAUUCAUAAUGAGUGUUUAUGGCACUUUUAAAAAUCCAUACCCACCUUGUGUGCAUCGUUAGUCAUGUUCCUUGUUCUCUCUUGAGGGAGCGAGGAGGCAGACUUCAAAUUAAUCUAUCUUUAACCAGUUUGUCUGAAGCAAUGUAUCAUGAGUUAACAUAAUUCUAAAAUACAACUUUCAACAACGGAUCUCUUGGCUCUCGCAUCGAUGAAGAACGCAGCGAAAUGCGAUACGUAAUGUGAAUUGCAGAAUUCAGUGAAUCAUCGAAUCUUUGAACGCACAUUGCGCUCUCUGGUAUUCCGGAGAGCAUGCUUGUUUGAGUAUCAGUAAAACACCCUCAACCUUUUCUUUAUUGAAAAGGCUGGACUUGAGUGGUCCCAACGGUUUUUUUAAAAGGCUGGCGGGUUGCUUGAAAUGCAGGUGCGGCUGGACACAUCUUCUGAGCUAUAAGCAUUACCUAUUUAGUCCCGUCAAACGGAUUAUUUCUAUUGCUACAGCUAAUAUAAAGGUUGAUUGUCCUGUGCCCGACUGAUGCAGGAAAACAUGGAGAAAUCCUUGUUCAACUCGAUCUCAAAUCAAGUAAGACUACCCGCUGAACUUAA
rnacentral:rRNA from 1 species